UGAAAUGAAGGCAUACAUUAG
rnacentral:piRNA from 1 species